ACUCAAAGGAAUUGACGGGGACCCGCACAAGCGGUGGAGCAUGUGGUUCAAUUCGAUGCAACGCGAAGAACCUUACCUGGCCUUGACAUCCUCGGAACUUGGCAGAGAUGCCUUGGUGCCUUCGGGAACCGAGAGACAGGUGCUGCAUGGCUGUCGUCAGCUCGUGUCGUGAGAUGUUGGGUUAAGUCCCGCAACGAGCGCAACCCUUGUCCUUAGUUGCCAGCACUUCGGGUGGGCACUCUAAGGAGACCGCCGGUGACAAACCGGAGGAAGGUGGGGAUGACGUCAAGUCAUCAUGGCCUUUAUGGCCAGGGCUACACACGUGCUACAAUGGCCGGUACAAAGGGUUGCCAACGCGCAAGCGGGAGCCAAUCCCAGAAAGCCGGUCGUAGUCCGGAUCGGAGUCUGCAACUCGACUCCGUGAAGUCGGAAUCGCUAGUAAUCGCGAAUCAGCAUUGUCGCGGUGAAUACGUUCCCGGGUCUUGUACACACCGCCCGU
rnacentral:rRNA from 1 species